AGGGGCUUAGCAAAGCGGUUAUGCGGGAAAUUCCAAAUUUCUUGAGGUGGGUUCGAUUCCUACAGUCCCUG
rnacentral:tRNA from 1 species